AUGGAUAAUGCUGCCUAUGCAUAUAGUGAACACAAAUUUAACAUUGCAAUGAAUGACCUUAGAGCUGAAUGUGAGGAAGCUUGGGAGUGGCUUUGUCAAAUACCCAAGAAAACAUGGGCAAGGCAUGCAUUUGACACAAAUUGCAAGACUGACCUUGUAGUUAACAAUUUGUCUGAGGUGUUCAACAAGUAUGUCCUAGAUGUUAGGAAGAAACCAAUUAGGACAAUGUGUGAUGGAAUAAAGGAUAAGCAGAUGAUGAGGUGGCAUAGGAAUAGGGAGAGUCGAAAGAAAGCUAGAUGGGACAUAACACCCCAUUAUAGUGAGAAGCUAGAGGUUGAGAAGGAGAGGGCCAAAUAUUGCAAACCAAUUCAAGCUAGUGUGGACUUGUGGCAAGUUACAAGUGGGCAGCAAACCCAUGCUGUUAACUUGCAAGUGCACACAUGUGGGUGCAGAAAAUGGGACCUCAGUGGCAUCCCAUGUAACCAUGCCAUCUCAGCAAUAAACAAGGGCAAAAGAAAACCAGAGGAUUAUGUCAGCAAGUUCUUCAAGAAAGAAUUUUAUGUGGCAGCUUAUGAACCAAUGAUCUAUCCAGUUCCUGGUGAGCAUGACUGGACAAGGACCCCUGGUCCAGACAUUGACCCACCUGCAUUUAAAGUGAAGAGAGGAAGAAAGAAAGAGAAGAGGAUCAAGGGGAGAUUUGAAGUUCCAAAGCCUAAGGACACAUCCAGAAUGGGGACUAUAACAUGUGGCAAUUGUGGACUGCAAGGACAUAGGUACACAAGCUGCAUGAAGCAGUUGAAGCCUGAGCUAGCUUUGAGGAAGAACAAACAUGUGGCCUCUUGCAAGGAAUUCCAAUGCUGGUGCUGCUGCUACUACACCAGCACCAAGAACUUCUCAACCAGCUCCUACAACAACACCAACAGCUGGAACAGGAGGUGCUGGGAGAGGAGCUGGGAGAGGUGCUGGGAGAGGUGUUGGUAG
rnacentral:rRNA from 1 species